GCGGAGGAAAAGAAACUAACAAGGAUUCCCUCAGUAACGGCGAGUGAAGCGGGAAGAGCUCAAAUUUAAAAUCUGGUUUACUUGUAAGCCCGAGUUGUAGUCUGAAGAAACGUUUUCCAUAAGCACUGAGGCAAAAGUCCCUUGGAACAGGGCAUCAUAGAGGGUGAGAAUCCCGUCCAUGGUCUCAAGUUGUUUAUUUUGUGAUACGUUUUCAAAGAGUCAGGUUGUUUGGGAAUGCAGCCUAAAAUGGGUGGUAAAUUUCAUCUAAAGCUAAAUAUUGGCGAGAGACCGAUAGCGAACAAGUACCGUGAGGGAAAGAUGAAAAGAACUUUGAAAAGAGAGUUAAACAGUACGUGAAAUUGUUGAAAGGGAACCGUUUGAAGCCAGUCUUACUUGCCUGUGAUCAAUUUUUGCUUCGGCAUGAAUGCACUCUCGGGUAUGGUAGGCCAACGACAGUUUGGAAUGCGAGAAAAAAAUAGGGGAAAUGUGGCCUUCGGGUGUUAUAGUCCCUUAUAAAAUAUCGUGUCCUGGACUGAGGAUCGCAGUGAAAAUGUGGGCAGGUGGAUUUCUGUGGUGACUGUCGGUUAGGACAACUUGUUGACCUAGCCUUCCUUAGCCUCACUAUUUACCUYGCUUCUAAUUUGCUUAGGUCGUUGGCAUAAUGGCUUUAAAUGAC
rnacentral:rRNA from 1 species